AGAGUUUGAUCCUGGCUCAGGAUGAACGCUGGCGGCAUGCCUAAUACAUGCAAGUCGAACGAGAGGAAGGAAAGCUUGCUUUUCUGAAUCUAGUGGCGAACGGGUGAGUAACACGUAGGUAACCUGCCCAUGUGCCCGGGAUAACUUCUGGAAACGGAUGCUAAAACCGGAUAGGUAGCAGACAAGCAUUUGACUGCUAUUAAAGUGGCUAAGGCCAUGAACAUGGAUGGACCUGCGGUGCAUUAGCUAGUUGGUGAGGUAACGGCCCACCAAGGCGACGAUGCAUAGCCGGCCUGAGAGGGCGGACGGCCACAUUGGGACUGAGACACGGCCCAAACUCCUACGGGAGGCAGCAGUAGGGAAUUUUCGUCAAUGGGGGGAACUCUGAACGAGCAAUGCCGCGUGAGUGAGGAAGGUCUUCGGAUCGUAAAGCUCUGUUGUAAGAGAAAAACGACAUUCAUAGGGAAUGAUGAGUGAGUGAUGGUAUCUUACCAGAAAGUCACGGCUAACUACGUGCCAGCAGCCGCGGUAAUACGUAGGUGGCGAGCGUUAUCCGGAAUGAUUGGGCGUAAAGGGUGCGUAGGUGGCAGAACAAGUCUGGAGUAAAAGGUAUGGGCUCAACCCGUACUGGCUCUGGAAACUGUUCAGCUAGAGAACAGAAGAGGACGGCGGAACUCCAUGUGUAGCGGUAAAAUGCGUAGAUAUAUGGAAGAACACCGGUGGCGAAGGCGGCCGUCUGGUCUGUUGCUGACACUGAAGCACGAAAGCGUGGGGAGCAAAUAGGAUUAGAUACCCUAGUAGUCCACGCCGUAAACGAUGAGAACUAGGUGUUGGGGGAAUAACUCAGUGCCGCAGUUAACGCAAUAAGUUCUCCGCCUGGGGAGUAUGCACGCAAGUGUGAAACUCAAAGGAAUUGACGGGGGCCCGCACAAGCGGUGGAGUAUGUGGUUUAAUUCGAAGCAACGCGAAGAACCUUACCAGGCCUUGACAUCCCUUGCAGAGGUAUAGAGAUAUAUCCGAGGUUAACAAGGAGACAGGUGGUGCAUGGUUGUCGUCAGCUCGUGUCGUGAGAUGUUGGGUUAAGU
rnacentral:rRNA from 1 species